rnacentral:lncRNA from 1 species
AUGGAGCCCCGGAUCCGUCCUCCGCCGCCGUCGAUUGGCGAGAUCACACCGCAUCCCGCAACCGCCGACGCGGGGCGCCGUCGUCAGAGUCCGAGGGCCGACGCGAGGGGCCCCGCCGCCGCCAUCCCCGGGGCGCGUGCGGCUUCGCCGGCGUCCCCUCCGGCAGCGGCGAAGCGGGAGGGGAGGCGGAGAGGGGGUCCGGUGACGGCGCGGUGCGUGUCUCCAGAUUGGUUUGAAGGCGUCCGCGUCGGAUCGCGUCGGGGCCGGCGCUGAAGCUGGCCGCCUCAGCUCUCGUGGGGAGCGGCAGGUGGCGAGGGCAGGCCCACGUCAGGCAGGUCUCGCGGUGGCCGGCGUCACGGGAUGAGGCGUCAGGUCCUCCUCCUUUCCACUUAAUAAACUCCCCUGUAUCAGUGUCAAAGCUACUCCGUCAGAUGUGUUUCUUAACUGCGUUAUCUUUCUCGAAUUUCAAAGAACUAGUACUACUUGUAUGUAUGUAUGCUCAAGUAGUGUCGGAAACAAAGAUGAAGUUUAGUUUGGGCAUCACGAAAGCAG